CAGAGGUUGGUGAAAAGAGUUUCGAUCAGAAGAGAAAAUCCUAGAAAUUAUGUCAUAACCUAAUGCUGACAUGCGUGGAAAGAGCUCGGCAGAGUUACGUAAAGGACUGGUUGGUAUGGUAUAGGUUUCUGUGCAGGGAAGCCUGGCUUGGAUUUUUCUUGGUGGCAAAUAUCUAGGAAAGAGCGGAGAAGUGGAGAGAUAUAACUUGAAAAUUAAUUUUCCCUAUGGAAAGAAUUGCAUCCAUUUCCCCAUGUUUGUUUUUUUUCAGCUCUUUAGCCCUCUUCAGACCAUACUGGCUGGCUAGUGAGUAUUCUAGGAGUUUGGCAGAAGGUAUGCAGAGCCAGACUUUGCUGCUCCUCUCUUCUUUCUGGAUGCUUUCCUACAAAUGCUAAAAAGCAACUCUGUAAUAUCAUAGUUUUUCUUCUCACAGGCAUCUAUGCAUGUUUUCUUGUUAGUAAGCACCAUAUGUCACUCUCUAAACGGCCCAGUACUGUAUUUUCUGGGACCCAAGUGUGCGUGGUAAGUAACAUCACAGCUCCUGCAUAUGAUGUACCAGCUAUACAUUACACAAACUUCAAUAAACAAGUCACUUUCAAUCAUUUCCCCCCUUUCAGAAAUGCAUUUAUAUAUGUGUUUUCUUACCCAUGGUGAAGAAGUGUUUAGAAUAUGUAAUAUGUCAUUAAGGGUAACAGAUGUAUUUAAUAAAGGCCUUUUUGGAUGUCUGGCUGUUCAUUGGGAUAAAACCUUGAAGUCAGGGCAGUCAGUUCUGAAAGGCAACAGUCAAUAAAAAAAUUAUUAAAAAAAACCCAAAACAACCUGAAACCCAUGCCGCUAUCCCUGACUGAAAAUCUACAAUGAAAUGAAUCACCCUUUUAACUAAUUGAAAAAUUCUUUAGACAUGUUUCUCCUACAGCAACUGGGCCAGCAUUUGGCUGAUUGAUGGGGCUUGUGAAAUGAUCUUUAGGACUUUCCACUCUGAUCAAAUAUCUUCCCAACUCCUAAAGGUCCAGCUGGCCCGGAGAUGGAGCGAGGGAUGUCUUCAUAGAUCCCUGGGAUGCAUUCAAAAAUGCAGUCUUUCUUUCAGCAAUGACGCACAGGAAAGAAAAGCACAAAUCCCAAACUGGAUGGAAACGAUCUGAAACAGCGUGCCUUGAAAUUGUUCUGUUUCUUUGAAGAGAAAUGUAAUAGUGCUCUGGUUCUAGAAAUUGUGAUGAAAAGAACGAUUUGUUUACUGUAUCUCCUGCAUUAGUAACAUGGGAAGGUGAGGGAACUGUCUUAGACAUAUGGUUGUUGUGUCACACAUCAUUCGUGCAAAUCUGAAAGCAACCACCGUGUGCUGUGAUGCAGGCACUUACCGAAAAGAAAAAAGAAGAGAAAAAACAAAAAAGCCCUCCCCCUGAUUCGGGGCUUUAAAAAGAGAGAACUCACUGU